GUCUAUGGCAAUACCACCCUUAAUGUGCCAGAUCUCGCCUGACCUGAGAAGCUAAGCAGGAGCAGGUUAGUUAGUACGAGCCAGGUCAGAGCUGAUUAGCACUUGGAUGGGAGAAAUACCACCAAAGUAA
rnacentral:rRNA from 1 species